AUUGUUCAGCCUCAUUUCUAUUUUGCAACAUAUGUUUAACAAACAUGUUCAAGCACAGUUCCAAACCUGCCCAACUCUGCAUCUUCCCGUUCAAUAGCUAUGGUUUCCCGUGGAGUGCUGCAACAAUAUCCUGCGUACAAGCUUCCUGAUUCUCUCAGUUAGGAGUUCAUAUUGGCGAUUUUUGGUGUAGUUUCGGCGGGUAGUCUCUCCUUUUGACGAGUUCCCCCAGCGGCCCAGUAACACCCCAACCACGCCCCCUCUUUUUCCGAUCAUAAAGCCUGCGGAACCUUUUUUUCAAUCCCCUGAUAUGGCCGAUUCUUAAGAAGGAGCUAUGCCAUUCCAAGGAGCCUGCAAGGAUGGACCUGCGAACUUCAUUGACCAGGCUACUAGAAAAAUUGGUCGGCCCAAGGUCACUGUCACCCAGGAUGUUGUAGAAAGGAGAAGGCUAUCCAAGCGUAGGCAAAAUGUUCGACGUACUGUCCUGCAAGUUGUAUACACACAUCCAUGUGAAGAGAUGGUUUGUGAGAGUUUUAAGCUAAAAAAUUUGAAGAUUUCCGACGAUGAUGGUAAGCCUGCUGCAUUAAGAAGAGCCUGCAGACUAAUUUGUAUCGGUGGAAGAAGAGUAGAAGAAGGUACAAGUGCUUGCGAUAGGAGUACUGAAGCCGAAAAUGGCAAGGCAAGAUUUGCUGAGAUUGUGAAGUAACGGUAGUUUGAAAGAAAUAUGUAGAUAGAACUUCUGAUAAUCUUUCCAGUAGUCUCCAUUACAAUGUAUUAUCAGAGGGAGGAGACUGAGCCUGUUAUAUGAGCAGGAGUUGUAUUAUUUUCAUUCUUUCUGCAGCAAAAGGGUAAGUUUUUCAGAGAUUAUGGUGUAAAGCUAGCUAACAACUGAUAAAUAGUUAACAAUUGGUUCAUCAGGUCUUGUCUCUGUGAUUUUACCCCCACCAGUAUAGUACAAAAUAGCAGCUGGCAAAAAUGUAAAACAUAGGGAAUAAAAUCAUUUGUCAUAAAGUAUGAAAAUUGAAAAUCAUUAGAUUUAAGACCUUUUUUACAUUGCUGUCGUUUUUGAAGUGUCUUUUCAUGCAAAAAGAGUUUCUUUUAGCCUUCUAGGUAGCUUAGAAAAUACAGCUGUAGCCUCUUCAUUCACAUUUUUACACUAAUCAUGAUUAUGAAUUGAUAAAUAUUUUAAGUACAAGCCUUGCUGAGGUAAAGCAUACACGUAGAAACAUUAAGUGUACUAUUUCCUACAUUGUGGUGAGUUUUUGAUGAAUAUAUUAUCAGAGUCUGGAUUUGAUACCAAGAAAGAUCAUUUUUAAUGUAUUUGCAAUACUUUCUGUUAUAUUUUAAUAGUUUCCACGAAGAUACUAUCAAAGUGGAAGGGACAUGGGUUGAUUAAAAUCCAGAAAAUCAUAUACACGUAUUUGGAGAAAUAAAUGUGCAUUAUAUGUAUAUAAAAAAUGUAGAUUUUUGACACAAGGGGAUUAAAUAAAUCAAGAAACGUAGAAGGUAUCAACGUCAAAAAGAGAAUUAAUGGUACCACACAUAUGUUACUUUCCUAAGAAUACUACACCCCACAAACGCCAACAUUGACAUUAUUAUGGCAGAUGCAACUGCAGCAAGUUUUUCUGUCGGUAGUUGUCGUAUGCUCUGUCGUCAUGCUAUAUACUUUAUAAUAUUCAGGUCUGUGCUAUCAGGUCUCCUGGUUUAGGGGAUAAUAGGCGAGCCAACCUGGCGGACAUUGGAGUUCUUACCGGAGGAGAGGUGUCUUGCAGGUUAUCAGUGAGGAACAUGGUUCAAGUCUUGUCAAAUUCAGCAUUGACGUCUUUCUACCAAAAAAGGUAUAGCUUCUUAACCGGCGCAGCAAUGACAGAUCCACACAAGACCGUGGAGAAUCUUUGCCCAGUCCCAGAUCUAAGAAAACCCUCUCUAACAAAUCAGACACCAUACUGUUAUGAAACGACGUCUCCAACGAAUCAAAAAGCGUGUAGGAUUAACCAUAUUCUGGUAAUCAGGUGGAUUGACCAUGGAAAUUUAACAAUGCUUCCAGCCUGUUCGUGCUACAAGUCACUCUGCAAGCCUUUCUACAUAGUAAUCAAGAUAGAUGUUUUCACUAUCCUACAUAAGAGUGGUUAGCAUAAUCUUCUUAAUAUUCAGCUUUGUUAGAAUCUAACAACUUCAGUACACGAGAAGGAACUUCUGUUACUGCUAUAUUCCAAGGAACACAAAUAAGUGUCCUCAAGUUCAAUUUCAAAAGAUUUGAAAGCAACACAUAACCAUUUAAAGUUUUGCCUUUUCCUGGGGACCCUAGAUAAGUUUUACACGAAUGUUUACACGAAUGGCUACCACCUGAGAACUCAAACUCUGAACAGUUUUACACGAAUGGUUACAAACCAGGCCGGACACCAAGAAAUUGACCUUUUCUGGUAAUCCACUUUUCUACAGAUAUAGGCACAUCACGUUUGCUUGUUUCGUCUUCAUCAUUAUCAUCGUUUUCUGCUGAACCAUGUAAUUACAUGGGAUUUUCCAUGUCCCAGUGAGUCUCAGGGUCCCACUUUGGUUCAGCAUCCCAUACUGGCCCUGGAUCAGACAUUGUUGAUGAAAUAUCCUCUUUAUCAUUUGCUGCUGCUGCUGUUCCCCAAGAUGACGUGGUAAUGUCAUGUGUGGCUGUUAGCCCAGUCCAUCCUUUAUCAGUCCUCGAUUUCGACCUGGUUCGUGGCCAUCUUGGGGUUGAUGAAAGAGGUAGAUGAGGAAUGCCAACUUCUGGUUCUGCAGCUACUUUACUUCUUCUUCCAGAUGACAAGCAUUUUGAUUUUACUCUUGAAACACAAUUUUCCAUGUUUGACUAGUAACAGAUUUAGUAAAAUUGUGAAGAAUAGACAAUGAAAUUAAAUACCCAACUAACGUUUUUUUAA